CAAACACUUCAUCAGAUUGCUGUAUUACAUCGUCUUUGCCGUGGGAGUAGUCGCUAUUUUCCGGAACAUCGUGGAGGGUGGCCAUGUUUUUAAGUUCGCCAUAAUGGUGGCUAUUGCGGUCUAUGCAUUCAACAAUGUUCUGCCUGAUAUAUAGAAGAGUGGCUUUGGGGAAUAAGAGGCUAAAGAAGUCAACAUUUUGACAGCCUGUGACGGCCCUUGACGUCGGCCUUUCCAAGGACAUUAUAUUUGGUUGUUCUAAAGGACGCUGAAUGUGUGACAUUGUGGACUGAAACGUCAAGAAUGACAAAGUAGCAUACACACUGUGUCUUCAUGAUGUCUGGAUUAUGUUCUCUCUGCAAUAGCAGGUAACACCACAAACCACGAUCCACACCGAACCGUGUAACGUUGCCUGCCCGCGAACAAAAAGGCGCUGUUUUCCUUUUCCAGGCUAGACUGCAUAUAUACGUUUGUUUUGGGUACUAUUUCAACUUAUUGUAAUUAAGGGUACGUGGGGGUUUCUGUCAGUUUCGCUGACGUGGACCCCCUUUCAUUUCAACUGCUCACUUCUGACCAGGUAACACCACUUUGCCACACGCUCGUAUACCGUGGAAAAGAACACAAACCUGGACGGGGGUACGGUGUUUGCAACAUUAUUACGAAGAUCUAAGAAUGGAUGUCGCUUCUAUCCUCUACUGUUUGGUUAUCGGAUUUUUCAUAUGGAUCGGCUUAGUAGGAGGGACAGUCAUCAUGAUCCGAGCCAUGGAUUUCAAUCAAGCUAUCAAGGCAGCCUGUGCGACUGCUACCGUGAUCUUUAUAUCUACUGCCAUUGUCCUUUUCGAGGCUCUGUCAUUGGUAAACGAACACAUCCGACAGGAUAUGCUAGCCGCCAAGAAGCUGAACAUGAGUGUCGCGACUGGAACGUAAGGCCACAGCCAGAUGACAAAUGGACAUACAGCAUCGAUAACUUUCGUCAUUUUUUUCUGCGGCAUAUUUUGGUGAUCAAGACAUCAGACUUGAAGCGACAAGGACUAAGGAUACGACUGGCUGCGAUGUUAUCGGAUUUUAAGCGUGUGCAUGGUUUGCUAUAUUAUCAAAAUUGUUUGAAGUGCAUGAUAGCAGACAUUCUUGUGUACCAUAAGAUGGGAAAAUUUAAAAGUUACUGUAGUCUGCGUACUGCAUGUUUCGCUAAAAUGCCUCAGUUCUGAAGCAUUGGUUUUUAUGUAAUUAUCUGUACUAUGUACCUUUAUGUAGCUUGAAAAACACAUCACAAUCUAAUUGGUUGGGUAUAUUUCUUUUUUACCUAAAAAGUAACAGCAAAUUUAUUGAAUUAAGAUUUCACCAUGACAAUUUCUGUCCACCAUUCUGUCUGUAUUUUGUUAUUGACAAUACUUGUACUCGUAAAGACAGGAAAAAAGACAUUGAGAGAGGGAUAUAGAACCUCAGACAUACACACUGUCCGCGGCAACUUACGUUAUAACUUAUAUACGUCUCGACCCAUUCAAAUAUACGAGAACCCCUCAUACAACCUAUUAAGAUAUAUAGCAGAUGAUACACAAUCUACUCUCUUACCCUCAACCUAAAAACGAACCGUACUGAAGCAUAAUUUGGCUGCUUAUGAUAAGAGUUCAAUAUAUCAAUGACCAUCUUGCUAUGUAGUAGCACAUUUCAUGACGGGGUGGUGUUAUGGGACGACACGAAAAUGGCGACUGAAACCAAAUAUCUACGUCGUCAGCAGUCGAGACAAUGGAGUUGUAACUUAAUAAAUUUGACAUUAGACCACAACGUAUUGGAAUGCACUUGCGCACUCAAAACAUUGCUUUCAUCUUUACCGUCGAGCAGUGCAAGUGGUGCAAGCUGUCCGGAGACACAGGAAGAAACGUGUCCUGAGAGCUUCAAAUUCGGUCCUGAAUUUGUUUCCCAUUUCGUCUAGAAGACUAGGCAACAUCACAUACUCUUCGUACAUACCGUCGCAAGAGAGCAACCGUUCAAAAUCAAGCAUGGAUUACAUCGUCGGAUUGGCUUUGAGCCUCAUCAUGUCUGCGGUUGUAUUCGCUAUGACCCGGAAUAUGGAUUAUAACCAGGCCCUUUUUUGCACCAUGUUGGCGACUUUCUUUGUCUACAUAACUGUACAGCCAACACAAAACAUGUGAGAGUGGCGACUGAAACUGUCCGGACGACUCGAGUAGCCUUCUGUUUGCGAAAAUAAUUGCAUGCUGGUGUUAUUUGUGAUUUUGUGGACUUUUACGUUUUGAAAAUGACAGUAGAGAGAUAUGCCAAAGCUUUCUGCCGUCUUGACACUACAACCAACAUGUUUUCAGUAAGAUGAUAUGGAUUGACUGUAAAGGCAAACUUCAAACUAUAGUACCAUAUCAACUGUAUUAUUGAAUAUCAAUUGUGCUACCUAGCAGCUUUUAUAUCAGAUUGAGUUAUUUACGCACUAUACACAUACUUCUGUCGCUAAAAUAUCCGUUUUGACAAUAACAACUCAUAGAGUGACAAAAAGAUAUAACUACACUAAUCCGAAUCCACCAUAACUGAUAGAGUGGCAUGAAGACCCCUUAAGGAUAAACGUAAGUAAUCAAGAUUCAUCCCCAGUGAUUGUUUUGUUGUUUACUACAAAGCAUGCCUAUCACGACAUUAAAUUACGUGUUGCUUGAAGCAACAAGGAUUCAGUGUAGGACAGAAUGUGAUGUGACAGUGCCCUCAAAUUUUGAGCAUGUGCACGGUUUGCUUUAUAAUCAAAAUUGUUUGAAGUGAUGGUAGGCAUUCUAGUUUAAUCUAAAAAGCUAGUGCAGGUUGCACUUAUUGUACUUAUCUAAAAUUAAGGUAUGGUCCUUGUGGGCCUGUGGUCUUCUGAUGCUGUAUUAAAAAUUAUACUUACUGUUA